AGGGUUUGAUCAUGGCUCAGGAUGAACACUGGCGGCGUGCUUAACACAUGCAAGUCGAACGGUCGCAAGACAGUGGCGCACGGGUGAGUAACACGUAGCUAACCUGCCUUCGAGUGCGGAAUAACGUCCCGAAAGGGAUGCUAAUACCGCAUAAGCUCACGGGAUGUAGACGCCUGUGAGAAAAGGGGAAACCCGCUUGAAGAGGGGGCUGCGACCCAUCAGGUAGUUGGUGCGGUAAAAGCGCACCAAGCCGACGACGGGUAGGGGGCCUGAGAGGGUGGUCCCCCACACUGGGACUGAGACACGGCCCAGACUCCUACGGGAGGCAGCAGUGAGGAAUAUUGCACAAUGGGCGAAAGCCUGAUGCAGCGACGCCGCGUGGGUGAAGAAGGCCUUCGGGUCGUAAAGCCCUUUUCUGCGUGACGAGACAGGGACGGUAGCGCAGGAAUAAGUCUCGGCUAACUACGUGCCAGCAGCCGCGGUAAGACGUAGGAGGCAAGCGUUAUCCGGAGUUACUGGGCGUAAAGCGCGUGUAGGCGGGUGGAUAAGUGGUUCGUGAAAUAUCCGGGCUAAACUCGGGUAGGUCGAAUCAGACUGUUCAUCUGGAGGCGGGUAGAGGGGUGCGGAAUUCCGGGUGUAGCGGUGAAAUGUGUAGAUAUCCGGAGGAACACCAGAGGUGCAGACGGCGCCCUGGGCCCGACCUGACGCUGAGACGCGAAAGCUUGGGGAGCGAACGGGAUUAGAGACCCCGGUAGUCCAAGCCGUAAACGAUGUCAACUAGGUGUUCACUUGCCUACGGGCAAGGGGGCGCCGAAGCUAACGCGAUAAGUUG
rnacentral:rRNA from 1 species